rnacentral:rRNA from 1 species
UUUAAUGAGAGUUUGAUCCUGGCUCAGGACGAACGCUGGCGGCGUGCCUAAUACAUGCAAGUAGAACGCUGAGGUUUGGUGUUUACACUAGACUGAUGAGUUGCGAACGGGUGAGUAACGCGUAGGUAACCUGCCUCAUAGCGGGGGAUAACUAUUGGAAACGAUAGCUAAUACCGCAUAAGAGUAAUUAACACAUGUUAGUUAUUUAAAAGGAGCAAUUGCUUCACUGUGAGAUGGACCUGCGUUGUAUUAGCUAGUUGGUGAGGUAAAGGCUCACCAAGGCGACGAUACAUAGCCGACCUGAGAGGGUGAUCGGCCACACUGGGACUGAGACACGGCCCAGACUCCUACGGGAGGCAGCAGUAGGGAAUCUUCGGCAAUGGACGGAAGUCUGACCGAGCAACGCCGC